rnacentral:pre_miRNA from 2 species
UUGUGGCGUCAUAGUCAUUGUUGACCGUUCAUAUAACCCCUACAAUUGGUUUGCAGCUUAUGCAGGGGUUAUAUAACGGUCAACUGAGAACAUUGACAUCAAAGA